rnacentral:rRNA from 1 species
CUCGGCGUGCUAUCUGCAGUCGAGCGACUGAUUAGAAGCUUGCUUCUAUGACGUUAGCGGCGGACGGGUGAGUAACACGUGGGCAACCUGCCUGUAAGACUGGGAUAACUCCGGGAAACCGGAGCUAAUACCGGAUAACAUUUUCUCUUGCAUAAGAGAAAAUUGAAAGAUGGUUUCGGCUAUCACUUACAGAUGGGCCCGCGGUGCAUUAGCUAGUUGGUGAGGUAACGGCUCACCAAGGCAACGAUGCAUAGCCGACCUGAGAGGGUGAUCGGCCACACUGGGACUGAGACACGGCCCAGACUCCUACGGGAGGCAGCAGUAGGGAAUCUUCCGCAAUGGACGAAAGUCUGACGGAGCAACGCCGCGUGAGUGAUGAAGGCUUUCGGGUCGUAAAACUCUGUUGUUAGGGAAGAACAAGUACAAGAGUAACUGCUUGUACCUUGACGGUACCUAACCAGAAAGCCACGGCUAACUACGUGCCAGCAGCCGCGGUAAUACGUAGGUGGCAAGCGUUAUCCGGAAUUAUUGGGCGUAAAGCGCGCGCAGGCGGUUUCUUAAGUCUGAUGUGAAAGCCCACGGCUCAACCGUGGAGGGUCAUUGGAAACUGGGGAACUUGAGUGCAGAAGAGAAAAGCGGAAUUCCACGUGUAGCGGUGAAAUGCGUAGAGAAAUGU